rnacentral:rRNA from 1 species
GGCACGCCUAACCAUGCAAGUCGAACGAAGUAGCAAUACUUAGUGGCAGACGGGUGAGUAACAUGUAGGUAUCUGCCCUUUGGCCUGGAAUAACACGAGGAAACUUGUGCUAAUACCGGAUAAGUCUUUACGGAGAAAGCUUUAUGCACCAUUGGAUGAGCCUGCACUUGAUUAGUUUGUUGGUGGGGUAAUGGCCUACCAAGACUGUGAUCAAUAGCUGAUUUGAGAGGAUGAUCAGCCACAUUGGGACUGAGACACGGCCCAAACUCCUACGGGAGGCAGCAGUGGGGAAUCUUGCACAAUGGAGGAAACUCUGAUGCAGCGAUGCCGCGUGAGUGAAGAAGGCCCUUGGGUUGUAAAGCUCUUUCGUCGGGGAAGAAAAUGACUGUACCCGAAUAAGAAGGUCCGG